rnacentral:rRNA from 1 species
UACGUAGGGUCCGAGCGUUGUCCGGAAUUACUGGGCGUAAAGCGCACGUAGGCGGACAUUUAAGUCAGGGGGUGAAAUCCUGGAGCUCAACUCCAGAACUGCCUUUGAUACUGAGGAUCUUGAGUUCGGGAGAGGUGAGUGGAACUGCGAGUGUAGAGGUGAAAUUCGUAGAUAUUCGCAAGAACACCAGUGGCGAAGGCGGCUCACUGGCCCGAUACUGACGCUGAGGCACGAAAGCGUGGGGAGCAAACAGG